UACCGUCAAAAUGGCAGCCAUGGACAUCCCGUCUGUGCGGCUGCAAUGUAAUUUUAGUAAUUUUGAGUAUAGCAAAGCCAUCGAAUGUGGUGUAAAUCCCUCUUAUCUGCGCGAACUAAAUACAGUGCAACUUAAUCGAUGCACAAAAGACGCGGAGCCAUUUGCAGAAGUGGAAAGUCGCUGCAUAUGAUGUGAAUGUCGAGUGGAAACUGAUCCUCCUGCCUUGUGGUUUGUUCGACGUCGAUGCAUACACUGAUAAGACAAUACGUCCAGCGCAUAGAUACAAGUUAGGGUUGAGUUGGACAUCAUCAAGGAAAUGUUGUCAUCCACUCCAUAGAGGGAAAGGCAAACCAUUCCGUGGUGUGAAUAAAGCAACUAGCCGUGAGAUCAUAGAUGUUUGAUCGAUGGGGUACCCUGAUCACUGUAGGAACAGGUAUCUGUAGAGGUUGUCUAUCUUAGCACAAACAAGCAGUUACGCACCAGACAGCGGAACAAUUACCAUCUAGCGAUGUGCUCUCUAAGGAACAAGAAGAGCAUCAGUGUACAAUCAGUGAUUUCACAUCGCCGGCUGGUGUACCAUCUCUCCAACCCACCGACACAGCGUGCACUUCAGUUCAUGAGCAUACAUCUGAGUCCUCAUCAACUGAUGGAGAUAUUACUUAGGAUGUAGGUGCACUUGCCUCUUCUUGGGCUCCAACCCCCUGACCAAAGAAUGUGGAGCUGCAAUCCCUGAACACUUUCCUUACUCAGGGUGGAAUGUCUGCUGUUGAUGGGCAGCUUCAUCUGUCAUUAGAAGAAGCAUCUGAUAGCACCAUCCAUUAUUAUAGAAGGAAGGCAAAGGAAGCCUUUGGUCUAGUUCUUCAUUGUUUAGCACCACGUCAAGAAGAUGGGCUCAUGAAGAUUACAAUCGGUGAAACAACUGCUGAAUCAUCACAAAGUGGUCAAAAUUUUG